UCAGUCUGCGCUCCUCUCCAGC
rnacentral:miRNA from 1 species